UCAGACGAUGCGUCAUGCAUAUCAAUAAGCGGAGGAAAAGAAACUAACAAGGAUUCUCUCAGUAACGGCGAGUGAAGCGGGAAGAGCUCAAAUUUGAAAUCUUGAAAGGUCACCUUUCACGAAUUGUAGUUUAAAGAAGUGUUUUCUGUUACGAUCGUAAUAUAAGUUCUUUGGAAUAGGACAUCACAGAGGGUGAGAAUCCCGUCUAUGAUUGCGAUUUGUAGCUUUGUGAUACACUUUCAAAGAGUCGGGUUGUUUGGGAAUGCAGCCCAAAACGGGAGGUAAAUUUCUUCUAAGGCUAAAUAUUGGCGAGAGACCGAUAGCGAACAAGUACCGUGAGGGAAAGAUGAAAAGAACUUUGAAAAGAGAGUUAAAUAGUACGUGAAAUUGUCAAAAGGGAAGCGUUUAACACCAGUGUUGUUUUCUGAAAAUCAACCUCUGUUAGCUUUAUGCAUGUUUGUUUAGACCUAAUCAGCUAUCUUGCAUGUUCUAUUGUUUGCAGUGGUGCACUUUUCAGUUUACAGGUCAACAUCAGUUUUUUUUACCGUAAAAAAGUUAAAGAAAGGUAGCUCAUGGCUCCGGUCGUGAGUGUUAUAGUCUUUUUCCUAUGCGGUAGGAGAGACUGAGGUCUGCAGUGUAGGCUAUUUGGCUAGAUACUCAGGUGCUAUGUGAUACCAUUUCAUAAACAACUUGUUGAUUAUGUUUUGUCUAUUGCAUACUCGCUUGUACUAUCAUACCUACGCUUAGGAUGUUGAAGACUCUACAGAGAUA
rnacentral:rRNA from 1 species